CAACUACUCCCUCUGUCCCAAAUUUGUUGUCUUAGAUUUGUCUAGAUACGGAUGUAUCUAAUACUAAAAUGUGACUUGAUACAUCCGUAUGUAGACAAAUCUAAGACAAGAAUUUUGGGACGGAGGGAGUAAUUU
rnacentral:pre_miRNA from 1 species